rnacentral:hammerhead_ribozyme from 1 species
AUCCAAGUGAUGAGUUCCAAAUUGGACGAAACGCGCGUGCUGGAC